rnacentral:tRNA from 1 species
CCGGGCGUGGCGAAGUUUGGUAUCGCGCUUGGUUCGGGUCCAAGAGGCCGUGGGUUCAAAUCCCGCCGCUCGGACCA